AUCGAGAGCCAGAACGGGAGGCUCCAAGCACACCCUGUACCUUGUUGCAGACCUUGCUGCCUUGAGGAGUCUGCAAUGAGCACUGUGACCAGUGGGUCAAGGCGCUCAUGAGCCCUCCCCUGGAGUACUGUGUCCUGCUCUGGAGUUCUCAGCAUAACAAGGAUAUGGAUCUGUUGGAGCAAGUCCAGGGUAAUCAAUGGACUGCAAGCCAUGUGCAGCAGCGUGGCCCAUGGUGUCAUCUUUGUGCUAUUCAGCAAACUGCAAGCGAGAUGUGUUCAAUUAAUAGUGAAGAUUGUCAGGGAAGCAGAGCUGGAAACGCUUAUUUGGUACUGCAUGAAUUGAACCUGCUUGUUUGAAUAAAAUACUAAUUACCUCACUG